UGGGGAAUUUGGACAAUGGGCGAAAGCCUGAUCCAGCAAUGCCGCGUGUGUGAAGAAGGCCUUCGGGUUGUAAACACUUUUUGUCCGGGAAAGAAAAUCCUUGGCUCUAAUACAGUCGGGGGAUACGGUACCGGAAGAAUAAGCACCGGCUAACUACGUGCCAGCAGCCGCGGUAAUACGUAGGGUGCAAGCGUUAAUCGGAAUUACUGGGCGUAAGCGUGCGCAGGCGGUUUGCUAAGACCGAUNUGAAUCCCGGGCUCAACCUGGGAACUGCAUUGGUGACUGGCAGGCUAGAGUAUGGCAGAGGGGGGUUAGAAUUCCACGUGUAGCAGUGAAAUGCGUAGAGAUGUGGAGGAAUACC
rnacentral:rRNA from 1 species